GACAGAGGGUGCAAACGUUGUUCGGAUUUACUGGGCGUAAAGCGCGUGUAGGCGGCUUGGCAAGUUGGAUGUGAAAGCCCACGGCUCAACCGUGGAAGCGCAUCCAAAACUGCUUCGCUCGAGUCUCGGAGAGGAAGGUGGAAUGCUUGGUGUAGAGGUGAAAUUCGUAGAUAUCAAGCAGAACACCUGCGGCGAAGGCGGCCUUCUGGACGAUGACUGACGCUGAGACGCGAAAGCGUGAGGAGCAAACAGG
rnacentral:rRNA from 1 species